rnacentral:rRNA from 1 species
CAGCAGCCGCGGUAAUACAGAGGGUGCGAGCGUUAAUCGGAUUUACUGGGCGUAAAGCGUGCGUAGGCGGCUAAUUGAGUCGGAUGUGAAAUCCCCGAGCUUAACUUGGGAAUUGCAUUCGAUACUGGUUAGCUAGAGUGUGGGAGAGGAUGGUAGAAUUCCAGGUGUAGCGGUGAAAUGCGUAGAGAUCUGGAGGAAUACCGAUGGCGAAGGCAGCCAUCUGGCCUAAUACUGACGCUGAGGUACGAAAGCAUGGGGAGCAAACAGGAUUAGAUACCCGAGUAGUCCCUGUCUCUUAUAA